AAGGAGUCGUCCAUUAGAGCGAGCGUUUGGGUGUAAAACCCCCACGCGUAAUGAAAGUGAAAUUAGGUGAGAGCUUCGGCGCAUCAUCGACCGAUCCUGUAGUUUACGGUUGGAUUUGAGUAAGAGUAUUAACGGUAGGACCCGAAAGACGGUGAACUAUGCCUGAAUAGGGUGAAGCCAGGGGAAACCCUGAUGGAGGCUCGCAGCGUUUUUGACGUGCAAAUCGCUCGUCAAAUUUGGGCAUGGGGGCGAAAGACUAAUCGAACCGUCUAGUAGCUGGUUCCCGC
rnacentral:misc_RNA from 1 species